UCUCCGUGCGGUCGCUGUCACAGCCUCUCGGCUGCGCUCUGCCAGGGGCUCCUCCGGCUCCAGCCGCGUCCGCGCUCCGGAGCCAGCAGCUCGGCCUGAGCGCUCGUCCCAGCGCGUGCAGCGCUUCUGCAUGUAUUUCAUUGGGACCUCUGUUGUUUUCGACGGAGCUCAAGCGAUGCGGGCAUCAACAUCGCUUAGGAGCUUGAAUAUUUUCUCCCGCGGACUUGCGUGUAAAUGUGUAAAAUGUUCGCGGCAGUCCAAACUUACUAUAGCAGGCUGACUCUUUGCCCAUAAAAUGUUAAAUCAACCAUGACCAGACUCAUUUUCCCAUGUCAGCCAAGAGGACUCCGUAAAUCAACACAUUAGGGCUUCGCAGGGCAGGAGCUGCGUGUGCUUCAUGCAAAGAGGCCCUGACAGCGGCUCUCCCGGUGCCGGGGAUAUCAGCCCGCGUGCUGCAGAGCGGCGGGAGAGGGCCUCGGGACGGGUGCUGAGGGGGGAGCAGCACCAGGUGGUUCGCCUUCCGACGUGGCAGCGCUUUUGUCUUACAGAUGUUCUGCAAAGCCCGUCCCAGCGGCUUGAAGAGCUGAGAUGAGCCCGUGCCUGUGCUGAAGACCAGGUGCAGGUGCUUCCUGACACCUCCAGGAGGAGCCUACUUGGAGGCCGUUACAGACAGUUGGUGCCAGAGCAUUACAUCAUUCCAACCGGAAUCUCACCUCCUUGCUUGCUGUUGUGCUGUGUGGCUUACCUGGUAGUGGGGAGACAAAAGGAGAGGAAGAAAACACACUGCAGGUUACGAAAUAGGAGACCAAGUGAGUUAGCCACAAGAAAAUUCAAAUGCUCAAUGGAUGACAAAGCAAGGCUGAAGUAUGGGAGUGUGAAGAGUUUGUUUCCUGACCAGCUUCAUUCAGGGAGACUGCCCCAGACAUUGUGAUGAAGACCUGGAACAAGAAAAUACCUCACAGAACUCUUGAAGCCUCAAACCUGUUAUUUACAAUGGGAUUGCAAUGUAUGAUGGCCUCAAAUUAGACUUUAUUAUAGCUUUAAUCCUCUUUCUUGCUUAUCUCUGAUUGUUGCUUUCUUAUCAGCAAGCAAGAACUGAUGCACAAAGAUGGACAGUUACUUCAGUAUUACAGUUUGCUUCCCCAUCACAGUGUAGCCAGCCACCUUGAUAUUUACAUACACAUAAUGGACUGCAGGGAAGUGCAGCACUUUGUGUUUUUUUAGGAGUCAGUCAUCUUGAGUCAUCUUAAAAAAAAUCACCUUUGUGUGUGUUUGCAACAUAUAAUUACAGGAGAAGCAGUAGUAACAACUUCCAAAUGAACAUUACCAAAUACUUUCCAGUAGAAAAAUGAUUAUGAUCUUUUGUGAAAUGUUCUGUGCCUCCAUGGCUAGCAACGGGCCUUUGAAACUUGACAGGAGGAUAAUCCUGGCACCCUUUUUGUUGGCUUUAUGAAAACAAAACAAAAAAGACCAAAAUCAAACAUUCAGACUACAUGAAUGGUAAGCUAUUUAAAAACCUUAUUUCUUGUCUUUGGUUCUCAUAUGUAUUUAGUUUUGGCAAUAUCUGAAAAUCCUGCAAUAAUCUACAGAGCUUGUGGUUGUUCCUUGUCAGCAUUUGUCCUUGGUGUGCUAUGUACUCUAAGUGGGACACACGGAGAAUAACUACCCUUCAACCUGGAAUAUCCUUUUGUGUGCAAGUAUUGUCCACUGGGAGCAAAGGAAUGAUUGUGCUACACUUCUUUUCCUGUCCAGGAAUAAUAUUUUUUAUCUUAUAAUACCACUGUGCAUUUACACUGAACAGGCCAAACCAAGACAGAGUAUUGGCUACAGCUGGGGCAUCAACCUAGGUCUUUGGACAUGUAAGUUGAGUUCUAGCUGACCACGGAUAAGGUAAGUUUUUAUACAA